UAAUCACUUGUCUCCUAAAUAGAGACCCGUAUGAAUGGCAUGACGAGGGUCUGACUGUCUCCCGUACCCAGUCAAUGAAAUUGAUCUACCCGUGCAGAAGCGGGCAUAUGAACAUAAGACGAGAAGACCCUAUGAAGCUUUAGGCCGAAGAUCAAACAUGUAAAGAGACUAAAAAUUCAAAAGACAAACAAGAAGAUUUAAACUAAUUGUAACAUGAUCUAAGUACCUUCGGUUGGGGCGACCACGGGGGAAAACGAAGCCCCCGAAUGGAAUGAAAUUAUUUCCGAGACAAGAACCACAAUUCUAAGCAACAGAAAAUCUGACCAUUAUAAUGACCCAGAAAUAAUAAACCAAGUUUCUGACCAAUGAACCAAGUUACUCUAGGGAUAACAGCGCAAUCCUUUCCCAGAGGCCA
rnacentral:rRNA from 1 species